rnacentral:rRNA from 1 species
GACGGAGGCCCCGAGCGUUGUUCGGAAUUACUGGGCUUAAAGCGCGUGUAGGCGGGUCGGUAAGUGCCUUGUGAAAGCCCCGGGCUCAACCCGGGAAUUGCUUGGCAUACUGCCGGUCUUGAGGCAGGUAUGAGUCGCUGGAACCUUAGGUGUAGCGGUGAAAUGCGUAGAUAUCUAAGGGAACGCCGGUGGCGAAAGCGGGCGACUGGGCCUGUCCUGACGCUGAGACGCGAAAGCGUAGGGAGCGAACGGG